UGUGAGCAUGAAACACCAUAUAAAAAAUAAAUUCAUAUUUCAAAUCAAGCCUUCUCAAAUUCAAGUGCACCUAGAUAUCACCAUCUCGACUUCUUCUUCCCCAUGCAGUCCAUCUACCAUUUUUGGAUCCAUGUUUUUUUAUCUUUUAGUUUGUUGUUGCAUCUCAAAAUCCAUAGACUUCUCAAAGGAAGAUUAUGAUAGAUAAUGUAAGUGAAGAAACUAACAUAAAUUAGUGUAUUUUUAUUGAAAAAAAAGAUUAAUAAUACACUAAGCGGUGAAUUCUUA
rnacentral:lncRNA from 1 species